AUGUUGACCGAUGCAGCUCAUGAGCCAGCUAUCGCGGCGUUCGAGAGUUCCGUGCCGGUGAUUGCACAACCACCUUCAGUGCCGGCAGCACCAUUGCCUCCUUAUCCGCUGACAGCCAAUGGCCCCACUGAAGCUGAUGUCCGAAGCAUCCUGUCACCGCUGCUGCUGAAGGAGCUCAUCAACUCGGUUGCUGUUCCUGGGCAGACCGGACUAGGAUUGGGCUUGGGCAUGGGAUUCGGGGGCUUGGACUGA
rnacentral:rRNA from 1 species